rnacentral:rRNA from 1 species
UCCUACGGGGGGCAGCAGUGAGGAAUAUUGGUCAAUGGUCGGGAGACUGAACCAGCCAAGCCGCGUGAGGGAUGAAGGUACAGAGUAUCGUAAACCUCUUUUGUCAGGGAACAAAGGCGGGGACGUGUCCCCGGAUGAGUGUACCUGAAGAAAAAGCAUCGGCUAACUCCGUGCCAGCAGCCGCGGUAAUACGGGGGAUGCGAGCGUUAUCCGGAUUUAUUGGGUUUAAAGGGUGCGCAGGCGGUCUGUUAAGUCAGCGGUCAAAGCCCGGGGCUCAACCCCGGCCCGCCGUUGAAACUGGCAGG